CCUACGGGAGGCAGCAGUGAGGAAUAUUGGUCAAUGGGCGCGAGCCUGAACCAGCCAAGUAGCGUGAAGGAUGACUGCCCUACGGGUUAUAAACUUCUUUUAUAAAGGAAUAAAGUGAGGCACGUGUGCCUUUUUGUAUGUACUUUAUGAAUAAGGAUCGGCUAACUCCGUGCCAGCAGCCGCGGUAAUACGGAGGAUCCGAGCGUUGUCCGGAUUUGUUGGGUUUAAAGGGAGCGUAGAUGGGUUGUUAAGUCAGUUGUGAAAGGUUGCGGCUCAACCGUAAGAUUGCAAUUGAUACUGGCAGUCUUGAGUACAGUUGAGGUAGGCGGAAUUCGUGGUGUAGCGGUGAAAUGCUUAGAUAUCACGAAGAACUCCGAUUGCGAAGGCAGCUUACUAAACUGCCACUGACGCUGAAGCACGAAAGCGUGGGUAUCGAACAGGAUUAGAUACCCUUGUAGUC
rnacentral:rRNA from 1 species